rnacentral:rRNA from 1 species
UAAUACGUAGGCAGCAAGCGUUGUUCGGAGUUACUGGGCGUAAAGAGUGCGUAGGCGGUUCUCUAAGUUCGGUGUGAAAUCUCCCGGCUCAACUGGGAGGGUGCGCCGAAGACUGGAGAGCUUGAGUGUGGGAGAGGAAAGCGGAAUUCCUGGUGUAGCGGUGAAAUGCGUAGAUAUCAGGAGGAACACCUGCGGUGUAGACGGCUUUCUAGACCACAACUGACGCUGAGGCACGAAAGCGUGGGUAGCAAACAGGAUUAGAUACCCUGGUAGUCCACGCCCUAAACGAUGCAUACUUGGUGUGGGCAGUUCAUUCUGUCCGUGCCGGAGCUAACGCGUUAAGUAUGCCGCCUGGGGAGUACGGUCGCAAGGCUG